rnacentral:lncRNA from 1 species
ACACCAGGAAAAUAAGCAUUAUUUCCAAAGGCUUUGUUGCUUACUCUCUCUUGGAUGUGAAUCUUGUGUUGCUUGUCACACACAGGUUGGUUCUAGUGAAUUUUCCUGCUCUGAACCGGCCUGUGUAGAGCCCAGAGGGUCAGCUGGGACAAUUCCAGUUCUCCCUGCUGGAGCCACAUUAUCCUGUCCUGCACUACGCUAUCCUACAGCAGAGGCUGCCGGGCAAACCUGGGCUGGCACGGUCUCCUUUGGGAGAAAAUUGGUGCCUUUUUUCCUCGAAAACACUGGGAUGCAGUGUGCUCUGAGCAGGCUCUGAACCCCUGCCAGGGGAGCCCUCAGAAGCCAGGCCAUGUCCUUCACUCCUCUCUGCUCCGCUGGGGCUCCCCGGGCACGGCUGCGCUUUGCUGGUCCCUGCGGGGCCCACACGGACGGACAGACGGCACCACUGGUUGAUCUGUGCCUAAAACAGGAAGGAUGAUGCAUCUUUUCCUCACAAUUGUAAUAAAAAAGCUGUUCCCACUCCAAGGGCUGCUUCCUUGCCUCCUUACACCUGUGUGAGCACACCAGCUGCAAGACAUGAUCUAGUAAUGACCCAGUGUCUGCCUGACCCUGCUGCUGCAGCUGGCUUUUACUGAAGCUGCCUUUUCAGGGCACUGUUCUUUGUGCAGAAGUGGAGCAAAAGAAGAAAUCUGGAGGUCCCUGACAGUACCAGCACAGAGGGAACCCUGGGCUGGAGGAUUGGGUGGCUCAAGGGGCCGAGCAGAGCUUUCCACUGGACCCCAGCUCUGCUGGAAGCCAUCACUGCCUCAGCUUGGUAGAGCCACCAGGUCAGUGAUUUCCUGCCAAGAUUCUACCAGAGCCAGGAUUUUGCAGCUUGUGUUUUCCCUGUGGAACCAGGGAGGAGUUCCCAGGCAUAGUCUGACUCUGUGCUGGAGCAGCAUCACUGCUGGGAAGUCAGAUUCCCCUGGAACUGGGAUGGCACAAUUGUUCCAGAAAAGGCCUGGUCUAAAGUUAAGGGAGGUUCUCAGCAUGGGGAGGAGAGAGAAGGGCUGGGGACAGGAUACCUGGAGCAUUGUGCAGCUGGGAAAGACAAGGAAAGGGCAAUCCUGCACAUCCUGGCUCACACACGCUCCCAGGUUUAGAACAUCAGAUGACUCUUAG